UGGUUAAGUGAAUAAGGGCGUACGGUGAAUGCCUUGGCACUAGGAGCCGAUGAAGGACGGGACGAACACCGAUAUGCUUCGGGGAGCUGUAAGUAAGCUUUGAUCCGGAGAUUUCCGAAUGGGGGAACCUCAUUGUUUUUAUCGACAAUGGUCCACUCAGUGAACACAUAGCUGAGUGGAAGGUAGACGUGGUGAACUGAAACAUCUCAGUAGCCACAGGAAGAGAAAGAAAAAUCGAUUUCCUGAGUAGCGGCGAGCGAAACGGAAAGAGGCCAAACCAGCGUGCUUGCAUGCUGGGGUUGUAGGACUGAUGGACGGGAGUGAAUGAGCUAGUCGAACGCCAUGGAAAGGGCGAUCAGAGAGGGUGACAAUCCCGUAGGCGAAAGCUCAGCCACCUCAUUCAGUAUCCUGAGUACGGCGGUACACGUGAAAUUCCGUCGGAAUCCGCCAGGACCAUCUGGCAAGCCUAAAUACUCCCUAGUGACCGAUAGUGAACCAGUACCGUGAGGGAAAGGUGAAAAGCACCCCGGAAGGGGAGUGAAAGAGUACCUGAAACCGUAUGCCUACAAGCAGUCAGAGCCCGUUAAGGGGUGAUGGCGUACUUUUUGUAGAACGGACCGGCGAGUGACGAUAGCAAGCAAGGUUAAGCUGAAGAAGCGGAGCCACAGCGAAAGCGAGUCUGAAGAGGGCGUUGAGUUUGUUGUCGUCGACCCGAAACCAAGUGAUCUACUCAUGUCCAGGCUGAAGGUGUGGUAAAACACACUGGAGGGCCGAACCCACGUCUGUUGAAAAAGGCGGGGAUGAGGUGUGGGUAGCGGUGAAAUUCCAAUCGAACUUGGAGAUAGCUGGUUCUCUCCGAAAUAGCUUUAGGGCUAGCCUCGGAUGAUGACUAUUGGAGGUAGAGCACUGUUUGAUCGAGGGGUCCAUCCUGGAUUACCGACAUCUGAUAAACUCCGAAUGCCAAAUAGUUUAGUCCGGGAGUCAGACUGCGAGUGAUAAGAUCCGUAGUCGAAAGGGAAAGAGCCCAGACCACCAGCUAAGGUCCCAAAGUUUCAGUUAAGUGGAAAAGGAUGUGGGGUUGCUUAGACAACUAGGAUGUUGGCUUAGAAGCAGCCAUCAUUGAAAGAGUGCGUAAUAGCUCACUAGUCGAGUGACCCUGCGCCGAAAAUGUACCGGGGCUAAACUGAACACCGAAGCUGUGGAUCCGUAGGAUGGUAGGAGAGCGUUCUAUAGGCAGAGAAGCAUGAUCGUGAGGACAUGUGGAGCGUAUAGAAGUGAGAAUGCCGGUAUGAGUAGCGAAAGACGGGUGAGAAUCCCGUCCACCGAAUGACUAAGGUUUCCUGGGGAAGGCUCGUCCUCCCAGGGUUAGUCGGGACCUAAGCCGAGACCGAAAGGGAUAGGCGAUGGACAACAGGUUGAGAUUCCUGUACUUGUUUGAUUUGUUUGAGCGAUGGAAGGACACAGAAGGCUAAGCGGAGCGCGGAGAUGGAAAAACGCGUCCAAGCAAUAAGUGAGAAGGUGAGUGAAAGGCUUGCCUCAGACUUCAUGAGUUGUGACGGGGAGGGAAAUUUAGUACCGAAGCCGCCGACGUCACGCUGUCAAGAAAAGUUUCUAGUGAGAAUCAAACAACCCGUACCGCAAACCGACACAGGUAGUCGAGUGGAGAACACUAAGGUGAGCGAGCGAACUCUCGUUAAGGAACUCGGCAAAAUGACCCCGUAACUUCGGGAGAAGGGGUGCUGACCGCAAGGUCAGCCGCAGUGAAUAGGCCCAAGCGACUGUUUAUCAAAAACAUAGGUCUCUGCCAAAUCGAAAGAUGAUGUAUAGAGGCUGACGCCUGCCCGGUGCUGGAAGGUUAAGAGGAAGGGUUAGCGUAAGCGAAGCUCUGAAUUGAAGCCCCAGUAAACGGCGGCCGUAACUAUAACGGUCCUAAGGUAGCGAAAUUCCUUGUCAGGUAAGUUCUGACCCGCACGAAAGGCGUAACGAUUUGGGCACUGUCUCAACGAGAGGCUCGGUGAAAUUGUAGUACCAGUGAAGAUGCUGGUUACCCGCGACAGGACGGAAAGACCCCAUGGAGCUUUACUGUAGGUUGAUAUUGAAUGUUUGUGCCACAUGUACAGGAUAGGUAGGAGCCAUCGAAGUCGGGACGCUAGUCUCGAUGGAGGCACUGGUGGGAUACUACCCUUGUGGGAUGACCAUUCUAACCCGCGACCAUUAGCUGGUCGGGAGACAGUGUCAGUCAGGCAGUUUGACUGGGGCGGUCGCCUCCUAAAGUGUAACGGAGGCGCCCAAAGGUUCCCUCAGAAUGGUUGGAAAUCAUUCGCAGAGUGUAAAGGCAGAAGGGAGCUUGACUGCGAGACCUACAAGUCGAGCAGGGACGAAAGUCGGGCUUAGUGAUCCGGUGGUUCCGCAUGGAAGGGCCAUCGCUCAACGGAUAAAAGCUACCCUGGGGAUAACAGGCUUAUCUCCCCCAAGAGUUCACAUCGACGGGGAGGUUUGGCACCUCGAUGUCGGCUCAUCGCAUCCUGGGGCUGAAGUCGGUCCCAAGGGUUGGGCUGUUCGCCCAUUAAAGCGGUACGCGAGCUGGGUUCAGAACGUCGUGAGACAGUUCGGUCCCUAUCCGUCGCGGGCGUUGGAAAUUUGAGAGGAGCUGUCCUUAGUACGAGAGGACCGGGAUGGACACACCGCUGGUGUACCAGUUGUUCCACCAGGAGCAUGGCUGGGUAGCUAUGUGUGGACGGGAUAAGCGCUGAAAGCAUCUAAGCGUGAAGCCCCCCUCAAGAUGAGAUUUCCCAUACUUUAAAAGUAGUAAGACCCCUGAAAGACGAUCAGGUUGAUAGGUUUGGAGUGGAAGCUUAGCAAUAAGUGGAGCGGACAAAUACUAAUCGGUCGAGGACUUAUCCAAA
rnacentral:rRNA from 1 species